rfam:Ictidomys tridecemlineatus contig066285, whole genome shotgun sequence.
UGGGCUGUGGCUCAGUGGUAGAGCACUCGCCUAGCACCUGCAAGGCCCUGGGUUCGAUCCUCAGCACCACAU